UUUCUUGAGCCAUCUUCUCACCUUAGCUUCAAUACCCAUUUCCAAAAAUCAAGCUUUUCCCUCAGAACACAUUCCAAAUCCAUCAGGACCAGUCCGAUUAAGGCCUACGCUGCUGCUAUUGAUGGCGUUUAUAUAAACUCCCAGAGUUUCUACGAUUUGUUGGGCAUCCCCAAGAGUGGAACGCUCUCGGAGAUUAAGAAAGCUUAUAAACAACUUGCCAGGAAGUACCAUCCUGAUGUUUCACCGCCGGAACGUAAAGAGGAGUACACGAAGAAGUUUAUUC
rnacentral:misc_RNA from 1 species